UUAAAUCAAGCUGGGCUGUGUGCCUGAACAACAAUUCCAUGCUCCUUACCUGCAGUAAUGAGUCAGGUGUGGGACAUAACUAUGGAAAUGAGAGGCUCGUGAGGGUGGAGGAUCCUUUCUGCAGAAGAAAAUAAAGGCUGUGUCCAGCCCACCUCCUCCGCCCCCAAGCCUAAUAAGAACACUGCCACACUUUGAGACACUCAGGAAUUAGUGAAAAAUGGUGAUGUUGCCCAUCACACAGUAAAAUGAUGAGGUGUCCUUAGGGAGGGAAGCCCUUUCCAUUUGUUUCUUCUCAGCAGAUGCGUGUGGCAGUAUCUCAGCAUGACUGUCCUGUAAGCCAGAAAUGAGGAGUAAGGCUGGCAGAAGCAAAUACAGCCAGAAAUAUGAGACUGUUCCCCUUGCUUGCAGAGCAGCUUCCAAUGUAACAAAACUACAAUUUUUCUCUUCCCCCAAUUUGUCAGCCUUUUAAAGACUUCCUUGGAUUUUAAAAGGCUGUUUAUAUUGAACUAAAAAAGGAGUUUGCAGCACUGUCCAGUGACAAUGAAGCCUUUGUUGGCAACCACAGAACAAGGGACUGCAUCUAAAUGCCGCCUCUUUGCUGCUUCCAGUGCUCUCUUUUUGAAGCGUGUGUGUAAUUUAGCCAUCUCUGUAAAAGCAACCCUUCCUUCAUUUCUUGGAGUUUGAGGGUUUAUUUUCUGCCAGCUGCUCUUUGAAAGGCUUUGAAUAAAGCAAAGUUUAAUUAUCCAUAGGGAAAAAAAAUGCUAGUUAUUUUCUGCAGCAUCCAAGGAUUUUAAAUGAUUGUCUUUUCAGAAAAUAUGUCACACCUGGUGUAAGCUAUGCUAGAGCCACACCAUGCAGGCAUCCCCUAAGGUGGUAAGCUUUACCUAAGGGGUCCCUAGAGAGUAUUUUGGAUUACAGCAGGGGCUAUAGCAUCUUUGAAACAUACAUCACAGAUCAUUGCUCCAUGGACUACCAGGGGUGUGCUGAAGAUCAGAUCAAUUAACUGGACUGAUAUGUGCUGGCCUGGUCCUUAUCUGUCGCUGCUGAGGAACAUGAUACUAGUUAACACGGGAAAAUGUGUUUAAAAAGAAGAAUUCAAGACGUAUGCUGGCAUCUGAGGCAGUCACCAACACGCAGAAACGGAGCCCUGGGUGUUAGAGGAGAGGCUGGGAAUCGCAAGACAGCAGCCUGUGACAGACACUUGCUCCUAUGAGGGUAGAAGACAUCCUGACUGUUUCACAAAUGACAAGCUUGACAGAAGGGGGAUUGGAGCCCUCAGUCUCUCUGUGUAAGAUAGCCCCAACACUGUCCAUCAGGCUGGUGCAAGUGCAAGCAAACAAGGCAAAUGUCUACAUGAGAAAGCAGCUGGUCAAUGACCUCCCUUCCACAACUGAAGACAUAGACCACUGCAAACAGGCAGCAGGCUGCAAGGAAGGUGCAUGGAGACAUUGUCAGGCAAGGACUUGCCCUACAGCACAGCACUGGCAGCCUAAAGCAUGGGGAUUAAUUUUACCAUGCGUACUUUCACUGGACUGAAACCAACUUGCACACUAUGCCAGCAUCCCCUCCAAGGCAGGUUCACCCUGGGGUGUGAUUCACAUGGCUGAUGCAUUUCUGACCACGAAGCUUUAGCACCAGUUCCCCCCUAGGACUGGGGGAAAGGAGAGCCAAAUGUUGUUCCCCUCUCAAAAUCUCUUUUCACCAAGAAAUCAACUCUGUGGUGAAGCCAUCUGUUGUGAGAAGUGUUUGCUUAUGAUUAACAAAUCUCCAUAUUGUAAGGAAACCAAAUCUCUAUAUUAAAAAAUAAAUCUUUUUAAAGGGAAAAUAAACAAAUAAGCAUGGAAAGAAAUUCCUAGCCAGUACAAUGUAUACAUGCAGGAAUGCCCUUUCACCCAGCACUGAGUGACUGCAGUCUGUGGGAGCAUCCUCCUCUGUGGGAGCACAAUCCCCGUGCUGCUAGGAUCACUAACAUAAAUACUCCCAAAUGUGACUGCCUACCUUGUUUUCUCCCUUUCUGACCCUAACAGCAGGGUAGAAAAAUAAAACAG